UACGGGGGGUGCGAGCGUUGUCCGGAAUCACUGGGCGUAAAGGGCGCGUAGGUGGCCUGUGGAAGUCUGCGGUGAAAGCCCGGCGCUCAACGCCGGGUCGGCCGUGGAUACUCUCGGGCUUGAGCUUACUAGAGGCAGAUGGAAUUCCGGGUGUAGCGGUGGAAUGCGUAGAGAUCCGGAAGAACACCGGUGGCGAAGGCGGUCUGCUGGGGUAAUGCUGACACUGAUGCGCGACAGCGUGGGGAGCAAACAGG
rnacentral:rRNA from 1 species